rnacentral:rRNA from 1 species
AGUGAACGCUGGCGGUAGGCCUAACACAUGCAAGUCGAACGGCAGCACAGUAAGAUCUUGCUCUUACGGGUGGCGAGUGGCGGACGGGUGAGGAAUACAUCGGAAUCUACUUUUUCGUGGGGGAUAACGUAGGGAAACUUACGCUAAUACCGCAUACGACCUACGGGUGAAAGCAGGGGAUCUUCGGACCUUUCGCGAUUGAAUGAGCCGAUGUCGGAUUAGCUAGUUGGCGGGGUAAAGGCCCACCAAGGCGACGAUCCGUAGCUGGUCUGAGAGGAUGAUCAGCCACACUGGAACUGAGACACGGUCCAGACUCCUACGGGAGGCAGCAGUGGGGAAUAUUGGACAAUGGGCGCAAGCCUGAUCCAGCCAUACCGCGUGGGUGAAGAAGGCCUUCGGGUUGUAAAGCCCUUUUGUUGGGAAAGAAAAGCAGCAGGUUAAUACCCCGCUGUUCUGACGGUACCCAAAGAAUAAGCACCGGCUAACUUCGUG